rnacentral:ncRNA from 1 species
CCGAGUGACUCGGGGUGUCCGCUCUGGCGAGCGGGCUGAGAACACACCCGCCGAACCUGUCCAGGUCAUGCUGGCGAAGGGAUGUCACGGCGAUGGACG